GGCGUAGGGCGCGAGCGUUGUCCGGAUUUAUUGGGCGUAAAGAGCUCGUAGGCGGCUUGUCACGUCGGGUGUGAAAGCCCGGGGCUUAACCCCGGGUCUGCAUUCGAUACGGGCUAGCUAGAGUGUGGUAGGGGAGAUCGGAAUUCCUGGUGUAGCGGUGAAAUGCGCAGAUAUCAGGAGGAACACCGGUGGCGAAGGCGGAUCUCUGGGCCAUUACUGACGCUGAGGAGCGAAAGCGUGGGGAGCGAACAGG
rnacentral:rRNA from 1 species